rnacentral:rRNA from 1 species
AGUCGAGGGGCAUCAGGGAUUAGCAAUAAUCCGCUGGCGACCGGCGCACGGGUGAGUAACACGUAUUCAACCUUCCGAUAACUCGGGGAUAGCCUUUCGAAAGAAAGAUUAAUACUCGAUAGUAUAUUUUCUUCGCAUGUUGAAAAUAUUAAAGAAUUUCGGUUAUCGAUGGGAAUGCGUUCCAUUAGGCAGUUGGCGGGGUAACGGCCCACCAAACCUACGAUGGAUAGGGGUUCUGAGAGGAAGGUCCCCCACAUUGGAACUGAGACACGGUCCAAACUCCUACGGGAGGCAGCAGUGAGGAAUAUUGGUCAAUGGACGAGAGUCUGAACCAGCCAAGUAGCGUGAAGGAUGACUGCCCUAUGGGUUGUAAACUUCUUUUAUAAGGGAAUAAAGUGAGGGACGUGUCCCUUUUUGUAUGUACCUUAUGAAUAAGGAUCGGCUAACUCCGUGCCAGCAGCCGCGGUAAUACGGAGGAUCCAAGCGUUAUCCGGAUUUAUUGGGUUUAAAGGGAGCGUAGGUUGACAUAUAAGUCAGCUGUGAAAGUUUACGGCUCAACCGUGAAAUUGCAGUUGAUACUGUAUGUCUUGAGUGUACAAGAGGUGGGCGGAAUUCGUGGUGUAGCGGUGAAAUGCUUAGAUAUCACGAAGAACUCCAAUUGCGAAGGCAGCUCACUGGGGUACAACUGACACUGAGGCUCGAAAGUGUGGGUAUCAAACAGGAUUAGAUACCCUGGUAGUCCACACAGUAAACGAUGAAUACUCGCUGUUUGCGAUAUAC